CUCUGACAGACGUAUUGUUUGCCUAUUUAAACAUGGGCAGUCAGUGAUUCCAUGCACUGUCAAUGUGUCUAAAUCACUUGCUAACUUUCCUUGCAGGAAUUACUUCCCUGGGCCCCUCCAUUGAACAGCAAGAUCUGGUGUCACUCCAGCUGCUUCUGCCUCAACGUUAAACCAUUCUGCUCUCCUGGCUUUUAUUACAGACACGCUUCUUGGACAUCUCUUAUCUACUCUGAAUGAUCACUUGGUAACAAAGCUGGGCUUUGGACUUGGGAAUUGAGAAUUGUAUAAACCUGCUUGAUCAAUGAGUAACUAACUUUGGAUUUCCCUUAUAUCUAACCGAUUACCUGUUAACAUCUCCUGGUUUAUCACCUCCACUUUGCUGCACAGAUUAACCCUUCCCAACACCUGCUGGAUCUUUAUGUUAUUGUAAGUGGUUGUGGACUCUGGACUUGUAUUGAUUUAAUAAUAUUGAUUGCUGGAUAUCAAACUUCACAUUCCUCUCGAACACCAAAUGAAUACGAAUUUGGAAUCCCA